UACGUAGGUGGCAAGCGUUGUCCGGAUUUACUGGGCGUAAAGCGCACGUAGGCGGAUCGUUAAGUCGGGGGUGAAAUCCUGGAGCUCAACUCCAGAACUGCCUUCGAUACUGGCGAUCUUGAGUCCGGAAGAGGUGAGUGGAACUCCUAGUGUAGAGGUGGAAUUCGUAGAUAUUAGGAAGAACACCAGUGGCGAAGGCGGCUCACUGGUCCGGUACUGACGCUGAGGUGCGAAAGCGUGGGGAGCAAACAGG
rnacentral:rRNA from 1 species